UUCCGGUCAGUUUGGUUUUGCAUCGACUGUGCGAGAGUCAAGUGAAACAUGAGAAGCUCUGGCUUUUGGCUUUUUCUGCAAGGAGAAUCCUCCCUCUGCCUUGGAUACCCAGAAAUACAUUUGUCGCAAAAAGUUAGCCUCUAGGAUUAUUGAUCUGCGACAGCUGACCACCAACUUGAAAGAUAAUAAAGGAUUUACGGACAGUAUAAACGGAUUAGAAACAUGCAAAAACAUUCAUGAUGAAUUUAUCUCCAAGAAGAAUUCAAUUCAAUUAAAGCAUAGCCAAGACCAGCUGGCUAUCAAAGAGGACUAAGUAAAUCAUCGAACCUCAGUGACAGAGCUCCUGAGUGGAAAAUAUGUAGCCAGCAGUUACCCUUCGUCAACUCCACUGAUAUCCAUAGCAUAAGGUUGCCCGGAACAGAGCCAUUCCUUGUGCCCUGCAAUUCCAGUGUUUCCGGAUCUGGCUAGACUGUCAUCCAGAGACUAGUCAACGGCAAUGAGAACUUCAAUCGCAAAACUUUAAUCGACUUCUAACUAGGGUGCGGAGACCUCCGGCAGAUCUUCUUCCUUGGACUGGAAAAAAUCCAUCUAAUGACCCAGUCCAAGCCUCACGUGCUGUACAACUCAAAGAUGUUAAUGGAAGGACCAUCUAUUCUCGAUUCCAUAAUUUCAAAUUAGGAAACGAAGAGAAAGGCUACAAACCUGAAAUCGGUGGGAAGUGCACAGGAAGUUUUCCACAGACCGGGAUAAUGACACUCAUGAGACACGAAAUUGCGCGAAAUUUUAUGGAGGUGGUUGUGGUUUUUUAGUUGCGGUACAAGUUCACUCAAUGGAGAAUUAUGAAAGUGCAUCAUUUGACGGCAUUCGAUGGGAUUCUUGAUACUAGAAUGUCUACACGAUCUCGCUUACUUUUGCUUAAAUAAUGAUUGGGCCGACCUUUGAUUCGAAUUUAAGAUCUGUUUAAUCUUAAUCUUCCGCAGGACUCCGAACCCUAGUCUUAGUCGGUCCACUGGCAAUUAAAGUUCUCAUUGCCGUUGACUCGUCUCUGGAUGACAGUCCAACCAGAUCCGGAAACACUGGAAUUACAAGGCACAAGGAAUGGGUCUGUUCCGUGCAAUAAGGUUGCUGUGGAUAUAAGUAGAGUUGCUAACUUGGAGAUAACUGAGUGCCUCCGAAAUUUCAAUCGGCUUUUGUUUAAGGAAAUUCACUUGAUCUCCUAGUUCUCUGAUGUUCUCUCAAAUUUUCUUUUAAAUCAAAAUGUGAAAUAUACGAUUACUACACUUUGUAUGUUUUUUUCGCAAUAUCAAACAAUUCAA